rnacentral:rRNA from 1 species
CAGCAGCCGCGGUAAUACGGAGGGUGCAAGCGUUAUCCGGAUUCACUGGGUUUAAAGGGUGCGUAGGUGGGUUGGUAAGUCAGUGGUGAAAUCUCCGUGCUUAACAUGGAAACUGCCAUUGAUACUACUGGUCUUGAAUUUUCUGGAGGUAAGCGGAAUAUGUCAUGUAGCGGUGAAAUGCUUAGAUAUGACAUAGAACACCAAUUGCGAAGGCAGCUUACUACAGGGAUAUUGACACUGAGGCACGAAAGCGUGGGGAUCAAACAGGAUUAGAUACCCGUGUAGUCCCUGUCUCUUAUAA